rnacentral:lncRNA from 1 species
CUCACAUGUCACAAAGUGACAGUGUGAGCUUUUGUGAUCGCGCAGCGUCCGUCGUCCGUCGUCCGUGCGUCCGUCCGUCCGCUCUUACGAGAGCUACAUUGUGGGGUGAGCGGUAUAGAAUAAGGUUCAUUGUGGGGUGAUUUUGUAUUAUGGGGUGCAUCCCAUAAUGACAUCAUCUUAAACGGGUGCAAAUGUACAUUGUGGGUUGUUUCUUUAAUUUUCUGAGUUGCACCCCAGAAGAAAAUGGACAUAUCUGUCCCUCUUUGGACAGUUACGGACACAAUUCGUGUUUAAGAAUGAUUGCAAUCUAUUAAUAGCGGCCACCCAAUGGAAUGACGUCAUUCGGUAGCAUUCGUUAUUGUUCGGCAAAAACGGAGUUAAGCGCAUGCGCAGUCAAGUGACCUGGCCACGCCGUCGCCAUAUUGGUAGUCCUGAAGCGGAUCUAGACAGCGUUUUCACAACAUAAAAUACAGAUACAAGUAAGGCUUAGAGGGAUGGGUGACUACUACAAAAUAUCAGAUCAUAAAAUUUGACAUCCAGAUAAACCAAAUGAACUGACACCAUGUCCAAAAGGCAGCCAGAAAGUAGCUCUGCAUGGUAGGAGUCCAUUAAAGGUGUGCCUGAUGAAACCAUUGGAAAUGUCAACAAUGGUAGCAUGGAUGGAAGUGACAGUGAUGUACCUUAAGAAAACAUUUGAAGUGACAAUGAUUGUAAGGUGGAUGAAAGUGACAAUGAUGUGCCUAUAGAAACCACUGCAAGUGACAACAAUGAUAACAUGGAUGAAAGUGACAAUGAUGGGCCUGAAGAAACCAUUUUAAGUGACAACGAGUGUAACAUGGAUGAAAGUGACAGUGACAGGCCUGAGGAAAAUAUUAUAAGUGAUAAUAAGGGACAACAAUAAUAACAUGGAUGAAAGUGGCAAUGAUGUGCCUGAGGAAAAUAUUGUAAGUGAUAUAACAGUUGUAACGUGGAUGGAAGUGAUACUAAUAUUUCUGAAAAAAAAAACCCUCAGGGAUUGGCUGUAAUGAAUGAACAGGAUGAUUUUUUGGGAGAAAUAAAUGGUGAAUAAAGAUAUUUUGGAUUUGACUUCACUUUUACUGAGAAUGACAAUAAUUCGUUUUCAAAAACAGAAAUUUGCAGCUUUUGUCUAUAUAGAUUUUGUCAUCUUUUUUGUAGACGAUUGUGAUUUUUUUUCAAUUUGGUUUGAAAAUUUGAUUAAUAAAUAUAAAUAUUGUUUUUUUUUUCAGAUUGUUUGGUAUUCAUAAUGUUGACAAACCCAAGUUAUAGUCUCAAGCUCCAUUUUAGUGAUCUGCUUUGUGUCCGGCAUCUGCCAACAAUACCUUCUUUUAACAUUUACUCCAGAACCGCUUGAACUUCAUUACCGGUAGUAGUAACUAAUCUGUUUUGCCCCCUUGAACAAUGUUUUGCUCAUGUCGGUCAGUAGGCCAUUUGGUUUCCGCUCAAUAACAAGAGAUUACUUAGACAUGCUGUGGUCAAACUUAAUAGGAUGACUACCUUUGGUCAGUAGGUAACCCCUUAUUGUUUUGGGGGUCAGUAGGUCAAAGAUCCAGGUCACAGUGACCUCAACACUGAAAACCAUUCCCACUUAAUUACAAGAGAACGCUUGAACCUGCAGUGGUCAACUGCCUAUGGCCAGUAGAUGAACCUAUA